rnacentral:rRNA from 1 species
GAUGAACGCUGGCGGCGUGCCUAAUACAUGCAAGUCGAGCGAACAGAUGAGGAGCUUGCUCCUCUGACGUUAGCGGCGGACGGGUGAGUAACACGUGGAUAACCUACCUAUAAGACUGGGAUAACUUCGGGAAACCGGAGCUAAUACCGGAUAAUAUAUUGAACCGCAUGGUUCAAUAGUGAAAGACGGUUUUGCUGUCACUUAUAGAUGGAUCCGCGCCGCAUUAGCUAGUUGGUAAGGUAACGGCUUACCAAGGCAACGAUGCGUAGCCGACCUGAGAGGGUGAUCGGCCACACUGGAACUGAGACACGGUCCAGACUCCUACGGGAGGCAGCAGUAGGGAAUGUUCCGCAAUGGGCGAAAGCAUGACGGAGCAACGCCGCGUGAGUGAUGAAGGUCUUCGGAUCGUAAAACUCUGUUAUUAGGGAAGAACAAAUGUGUAAGUAACUAUGCACGUAUUGACGGUACCUAAUCAGAAAGCCACGGCUAACUACGUG